GUGUCAGCAGCCGCGGUAAUACGGAGGAUGCAAGCGUUGUUCGGAAUCACUGGGCUUAAAGAGCGUGUAGGUGGGGUGUCAGGCAUCGGGUGAAAUCCCUCGGCUCAACCGAGGAACUGCCUGGUGAACCGGCAUUCUUGAGGCAGGUAGAGGUGGCUGGAACGACAGGUGGAGCGGUGAAAUGCGUAGAUAUCUGUUGGAACGCCGGCGGCGAAAGCGAGCCACUGGGCCUGUCCUGACACUGAGACGCGAAAGCGUGGGGAGCAAACAGGAUUAGAAACCCCUGUAGUCC
rnacentral:rRNA from 1 species